rfam:Rattus norvegicus chromosome 1, whole genome shotgun sequence.
GGGGAUUUAGCUCAGUGGUAGAGCGCUUGCCUAGCAAGCACAAGAAGGCCCUGGGUUCGAUCCCCAGCUCCA